rnacentral:rRNA from 1 species
UACGUAGGAGGCGAGCGUUGUCCGGAAUCACUGGGUGUAAAGCGCGUGUAGGCGGCCUGCCAAGUCUGCUGUGAAAGCGCCUGGCUUAACCGGGCGAGGUCGGUGGAAACUGGCGGGCUGGAGGACGGUAGAGGGGGGUGGAAUUCCCGGUGUAGUGGUGAAAUGCGUAGAGAUCGGGAGGAACACCAGUGGCGAAGGCAGCCAUCUGGACCGACACUGACGCUGAGGCGCGAAAGCGUGGGGAGCAAACAGG